rnacentral:rRNA from 1 species
UGGGGAAUAUUGCACAAUGGGCGCAAGCCUGAUGCAGCCAUGCCGCGUGUGUGAAGAAGGCCUUCGGGUUGUAAAGCACUUUCAGCGUGGAGGAAGGCGAUAAGGUUAAUAACCUUGUCGAUUGACGUUACCCGCAGAAGAAGCACCGGCUAACUCCGUGCCAGCAGCCGCGGUAAUACGGAGGGUGCAAGCGUUAAUCGGAAUUACUGGGCGUAAAGCGCACGCAGGCGGUUUGUUAAGUCAGAUGUGAAAUCCCCGGGCUCAACCUGGGAACUGCAUCUGAUACUGGCAAGCUUGAGUCUCGUAGAGGGGGGUAGAAUUCCAGGUGUAGCGGUGAAAUGCGUAGAGAUCUGGAGGAAUACCGGUGGCGAAGGCGGCCCCCUGGACGAAGACUGACGCUCAGGUGCGAAAGCGUGGGGAGCAAACAGG